GAGCAGGGGAAGUGCAGCCGCGGACAGAGAAGGCCCGGGUGUCCUCGUCUCUGCGGGGCUUUGGAGGAGAUUCUGUAGGGGGAGAAAAGAGCAACCGUUUCCGAUCCUCCGGCUGCCCAUCACAUGAUGCAGACAGACGAACCAUGCAGAGGAGACGCAGAAAUCUCUGUCAUCAGUCGAGCCGCAGCCUUCCGUGGCGUAAAGAAAAGAAAAGGAAAGAAAAGGAAAGAAAAGAAAAGAAAAGGAAAGAAAAGGCUUUUGCUUUUAGGUGGACCAACCCAGGAUCAGGUGUCUCCGUCGUCCAUGGAGGGGAUGAUAUCUUCGUAUGACAUGUGCCCUUUACGGACACCGGACACUUCCCCCGCCCUUCAAAAUAUUUACCCAACAUGUCUCGGUGGGUGGUGGCCCCAUCUGAAGAAACAUGUAAACACACAUUCACAUUGAUGGAUUAUUUUUCUUUGGAAGCAGAAUUUGACUCCCUAUAGUGUUUAAAAAUGACAGGAAUGGAGUUUUGGAUUACAAGUACUCACGUUACUGUGAUUAAGUUGCUUUUAUGGGUACUUGUACUUUUUAAAAAUAUAUUUCUAAAUCACUAAUUUUACCUGCACUUCAGUACUUUUCAAAAGCUGUGAUAUUCGUUACAUUUCUACACCCAACUGUUACUGAGUAAAUUCUGAUUAUUUUUUUGUUCUAAAUGAUCAACGUAAAUUGUAAAACUACAAAAAAAUAAAUGACCGGUCAACAAAUUAAAUGUAUCA
rnacentral:lncRNA from 1 species